GAACGCUAGCUACAGGCUUAACACAUGCAAGUCGAGGGGCAGCAUCAUCAAAGCUUGCUUUGAUGGAUGGCGACCGGCGCACGGGUGAGUAACACGUAUCCAACCUGCCGACAACACUGGGAUAGCCUUUCGAAAGAAAGAUUAAUACCGGAUGGUAUAGUUUUCCCGCAUGGGAUAAUUAUUAAAGAAUUUCGGUUGUCGAUGGGGAUGCGUUCCAUUAGGCAGUUGGCGGGGUAACGGCCCACCAAACCUACGAUGGAUAGGGGUUCUGAGAGGAAGGUCCCCCACAUUGGAACUGAGACACGGUCCAAACUCCUACGGGAGGCAGCAGUGAGGAAUAUUGGUCAAUGGACGAGAGUCUGAACCAGCCAAGUAGCGUGAAGGAUGACUGCCCUAUGGGUUGUAAACUUCUUUUAUACGGGAAUAAAGUUAGCCACGUGUGGUUUUUUUGUAUGUACCGUAUGAAUAAGGAUCGGCUAACUCCGUGCCAGCAGCCGCGGUAAUACGGAGGAUCCGAGCGUUAUCCGGAUUUAUUGGGUUUAAAGGGAGCGUAGGCGGGUUGUUAAGUCAGUUGUGAAAGUUUGCGGCUCAACCGUAAAAUUGCAGUUGAUACUGGCGACCUUGAGUGCAACAGAGGUAGGCGGAAUUCGUGGUGUAGCGGUGAAAUGCUUAGAUAUCACGAAGAACUCCGAUUGCGAAGGCAGCUUACUGGAUUGUAACUGACGCUGAUGCUCGAAAGUGUGGGUAUCAAACAGGAUUAGAUACCCUGGUAGUCCACACAGUAAACGAUGAAUACUCGCUGUUGGCGAUAUACAGUCAGCGGCCAAGCGAAAGCAUUAAGUAUUCCACCUGGGGAGUACGCCGGCAACGGUGAAACUCAAAGGAAUUGACGGGGGCCCGCACAAGCGGAGGAACAUGUGGUUUAAUUCGAUGAUACGCGAGGAACCUUACCCGGGCUUAAAUUGCAACUGACGGAACCGGAAACGGUUCUUUCUUCGGACAGUUGUGAAGGUGCUGCAUGGUUGUCGUCAGCUCGUGCCGUGAGGUGUCGGCUUAAGUGCCAUAACGAGCGCAACCCUUACGGGUAGUUACCAUCAGGUUAUGCUGGGGACUCUACCCGGACUGCCGUCGUAAGAUGUGAGGAAGGUGGGGAUGACGUCAAAUCAGCACGGCCCUUACGUCCGGGGCUACACACGUGUUACAAUGGGGGGUACAGAAGGCAGCUACACGGCGACGUGGUGCUAAUCCCAAAAGCCUCUCUCAGUUCGGAUUGGAGUCUGCGACCCGACUCCAUGAAGCUGGAUUCGCUAGUAAUCGCGCAUCAGCCACGGCGCGGUGAAUACGUUCCCGGGCCUUGUACACACCGCCCGUCAAGCCAUGAAAGCCGGGGGUACCUGAAGUACGUAACCGCGAGGAGCGUCCUAGGGUAAAACUGGU
rnacentral:rRNA from 1 species